AGAGGAACAGUGUUACAAACCACUUUAUUACUAAUAGCUUGUCCUGACUGCAUGCAGACGUCUGACUAUUGCAUUGAAUUAUGUCGGAUGCUUUCUGUCCACAUAGAAUCUUUAAAUAUGUACUUCUGCUGCCCCUUAAACAAACCAUGUACCAUCAUCAUCAACACUCAAGUAAAAGAUGGAAAACCAACAGAACCCUGUGGGAACCUGGGACAUUAGCUGCACUCACCCUUUUCUUUGGGUUGCUGAUGGUCUCAUCAUUCGGACGUUUGGGGGAUUUAUUGGAGUCCUU